UCUGGGAUUAGAUACCCCACUAUACCUUUACUUAAAUUUCAACACCAGAGAAUUACGAUUUUUAAUUAAAACUUAAAGAACUUGGCGAUUUUUUAUAUCUAUUCGGAGGAGUUUGUUAUUAAAUUGAUUUUCCACAAGAAACCUUACCCCAUUUUGAAUACUUCAGCUUGUAUACCAUCGUCGCCAGCUUAUUUUUAAGAAUAUAAGCUAUAAGAAAAAUUUUCUAAACGUCAGAUCAAGGUGCAGCCUAUAAAGGGGGGAUCAAUGAGCUACUUUACCAAAAAAGUAAGAGGAAAAAAAUUUGAAAAAAUUAUUUAAAAGAGGAUUCGACAGUAAUUUUUUAUAUAAAAAUAAAAUGAAAAAGCCCUAAAAUACGCACAUACCGCCCGUCACCCUCCUCAA
rnacentral:rRNA from 1 species